AUGGAGUGGGCCGGCUGGCCAAUAAGAGCAGACUGGGCUUCGCCGGGAGGGAGGGGCCUUGAAGAGACAGGGACUUUCAGACAGAGGCUGAGAAGAGGAGCUGCAGGAAUGCAGUAUUCAUACACACAUCGUCAAACCAGUGACAAUGAGGAAGAUGAUGGGGCAGGAAGAAGAAGAAGAAGAAGAAGCAGAUAUGCAGAUAAAAGGAUUUUCCUCAGCAACCUUUAUCUCUGCAAUGUGUCACUCCCGACUUCAUUCAGUCGACGUUUGUUUGAAAUUUGCCCUGAAUUAUUCAUGGUCAUUUGGUUCAUGAAUGCUUUUAUGCAUAUUUGGUUGAUGAUGAAACACCACGUUGUGAAUGCAAAUAUUAGGGGGCGCCAUCAACUUUUCCUCAAAUGAGAACUUGGGAAUGUGAUUUACGGAGCUGAAUUGCUUCCUGUUAAUAAUCAAACAAUUUAAUUUCACAUUUAAAUAAACUUUUUUAAAUUUUAAAGGAUAGGCAGUCCCUUCAGGGAUGGCGCGAUCGCAACAAUCAUUACUAAUUAAACAAAAAACAAAUCCGAGCAUUUGAACGCGCAAAACCUUUCCGUCACUCACAUGAACUUAAAGUGUCUGGCACUUCCCUGUGGCUACUUUGCUCGUGAGGCCCUUUGCUUUCUCUUCCUGUUUGCUGUUGUUGUGUCCUUUUUUCUGCAGACCGUUUGUGUUGUGUUUAUGGUCCCUCAGCCGCCAAGGGGCUUCCAUCAGUUCAUUAGGACGACACGAUGCGUCUGAAGUCUGCGGAGCAAAGUAUUCCAUAAAACCUCUUCGGUGUGAACUCUGCCAGCGGCAACAGGAGGCUGCCCCCUUUCGCAGAUUAAAUAAAACCAGGGCCUCGGAGAGAUUCCAUGGUGUGGCUUUUUGAAAGAGAGCUCUGAUCCUCAAAAAAGAAGUUGAGGAAAGAGAAGCUCUGUAAAAUAAAUUAACUAUGAGGGCUAUUAAGGAAUAGGCAAACAGUGCUAUGCUUCCUCAAAUAAAGAGGCUUUGCCCGAAAUCUAAAUAAGUUGCGUCAUUCAUAUUUCUGUGGUCCGUUGAUAUCGUGACAACAUGUUCAGGUUACCAAACAUGUGUUUCCCUUUAAAAAAGACAGCAGUCAACAGUCUCCACCAGGUUUAAGAGGAAGAGGAAGAAAGUUUCCCACGUGAGUCCAACGGUGUAUGAGGUCUUUGACUGUUACACCCAACUAUUCACGUUCAUGUACAAGUGACUGCGUCUUUGCUCAAUGGACCAACGAGGCUGUAUUGUUAUAAUAACGUUGUAAUCAACAGAUAUAGGCAC
rnacentral:lncRNA from 1 species